rnacentral:rRNA from 1 species
CCUACGGUAGGCAGCAGUGAGGAAUAUUGGUCAAUGGACGCAAGUCUGAACCAGCCAUGCCGCGUGCAGGAAGACGGCUCUAUGAGUUGUAAACUGCUUUUGUACGAGGGUAAACGCAGAUACGCGUAUCUGUCUGAAAGUAUCGUACGAAUAAGGAUCGGCUAACUCCGUGCCAGCAGCCGCGGUAAUACGGAGGAUUCAAGCGUUAUCCGGAUUUAUUGGGUUUAAAGGGUGCGUAGGCGGUCGGAUAAGUUAGAGGUGAAAUCCCGAGGCUCAACUUCGGAAUUGCCUCUGAUACUGUUCGGCUAGAGAGUAGUUGCGGUAGGCGGAAUGUAUGGUGUAGCGGUGAAAUGCUUAGAGAUCAUACAGAACACCGAUUGCGAAGGCAGCUUACCAAGCUACUUCUGACGUUGAGGCACGAAAGCGUGGGGAGCAAACAGGAUUAGAUACCCCAGAAGUC